UGAUUAUGUCACGCUUUAUCUGUAAAUGAUAAUAUUUUUUUGACAACACCCCACAAGGUGCAGGAACCGGGUUUUAAAAAAAAACAGCUUCUGACUUUCAAGUCUGGUGCUGGGAAAUUGUGUCAUAGAGGCAAGCUGAAACACAGUCAAGACAACUAUCAAUAGCCCUCCUUCCACAUUUAGCUCAUCUGCAUGGAACGAUGUGAAGAUGCAGCAGGGGUGAGAAACGAAAGACGGCACACACACUCACACACUACACAGAGGACCAGAGAAGAAAUGCUAAGGCACAGUAAAAUAGAAAGACAGUCUGACUGUGACUAGGACAAAAAGAAGUUUGUAAAGGCUGAGCGACGGUAUACUGUUAAUGAACUUUCCAACCCCCCUGCGCUGCUGAAGGCGGGGUGUAGAUUAAAGUAAACAUGUCAUGGUGCUCACACCAAGUCAAGAAUCAUGUCUGCAAUACAAAACAACCAUUCCAUAAUCAGUCCUUUAUGGGAAGUGUGAAUGGCUCAUAGUCUGAGAACUUUAGCAUGAUGUGGUCA